UAAAGAGCUCGUAGGUGGUUUGUCGCGUUGUUCGUGAAAUCUCACGGCUUAACUGUGAGCGUGCGGGCGAUACGGGCAGACUUGAGUACUGCAGGGGAGACUGGAAUUCCUGGUGUAGCGGUGGAAUGCGCAGAUAUCAGGAGGAACACCGGUGGCGAAGGCGGGUCUCUGGGCAGUAACUGACGCUGAGGAGCGAAAGCGUGGGGAGCGAACAGGAUUAGAUACCCUGGUAGUCCACGCCGUAAACGGUGGGUACUAGGUGUGGGUUUCCUUCCUUGGGAUCCGUGCCGUAGCUAACGCAUUAAGUACCCCGCCUGGGGAGUACGGCCGCAAGGCUAAAACUCAAAGAAAUUGACGGGGGCCCGCACAAGCGGCGGAGCAUGUGGAUUAAUUCGAUGCAACGCGAAGAACCUUACCUGGGUUUGACAUGCACAGGACGCCGGCAGAGAUGUCGGUUCCCUUGUGGCCUGUGUGCAGGUGGUGCAUGGCUGUCGUCAGCUCGUGUCGUGAGAUGUUGGGUUAAGUCCCGCAACGAGCGCAACCCUUGUCUCAUGUUGCCAGCGGGUAAUGCCGGGGACUCGUGAGAGACUGCCGGGGUCAACUCGGAGGAAGGUGGGGAUGACGUCAAGUCAUCAUGCCCCUUAUGUCCAGGGCUUCACACAUGCUACAAUGGCCGGUACAAAGGGCUGCGAUGCCGCGAGGUUAAGCGAAUCCUUUUAAAGCCGGUCUCAGUUCGGAUCGGGGUCUCAACUCGACCCCGUGAAGUCGGAGUCG
rnacentral:rRNA from 1 species